AUGCACAGUUUUAAUCUUGCUUUGUUAGCAAAACAGUGCUGGCGACUAAUCCAGAACCCGGACUCUUUGUGUGCACAAGUUCUGAGGGAAAAAUACUACCCAGACGGAGAUAUCCUCAAAGCAGGUCCAAAGAAAGGUUCAUCCUACACGUGGCGAAGCAUUGUAGCGGGCAUCCAGACCUUCAAGAGGGGUUGUAUAUGGCGAGUGGGGACAUGAUCAAAAAUUGAUAUUUGGCAGGACCCAUGGAUUGCAUCGAGUGUGACACGAAGGGUAAUCACUGAGAGGGGGGGAACACUUCGCACCAAAGUAGAAGAUCUAAUCGAUCCAUAUACUGGAUAGUGGGACGAAGAACUUAUUCAUGAUAUUUUCUCACCUGUGGAUGUACACAGAAUAUUACAGAUUCGGUUAUCUGCUAGCUUGACAGAAUAUUUUGUAGGAUGGAGCUACACUCGCUCGGGCACCUUCUCUGUGAGGUCGGCGUACCACAGGGAAUUUGAACACCAGCAUGGAUCACGCUUUAUGAGAGCUGAUGGACAAGGGAGCCACCGGAUAAAUGCGGUCUGGAAAGAUAUGUGGAGUCUUAAAAUACCGGGGAAAAUCAAGCAUUUUGCUUGGAAAGUUUUGCAUGGAGUUCUCCCUUGUUUAGGAGUUCUAGCUAACCGGCAUAUCCCAUGUUCUCCACAGUGUCCAGUGUGCUCGGUUGGUGAUGAGGAUAUACAACAUUGUUUGUUUAAUUGCCAAAGAGCAACCCAAGUCUGGGAUAGUUUGGGGCUG
rnacentral:rRNA from 1 species